GCUCCCUGAGGUCUGCUCUGAAGGUCAGGGCCGCAGACCGUUCUAGAUCUUAAAGCAUGUUAGACACAGUUUCACUUCGAGGCAGAGUGACUUACAAGAGGCGGCCUGGGAAAGAUUAAAAGAUUACACUUGUAGUCCCUUGCUUUCGUGAGAAAAGUGCCAGCUUCUUCUUGGUCUGUGGACUCAGACAGAAAACCCACUUGGCCUUCACGGGCUAUUAAGCAGAGGUGGAGGGGAGGGGCAGGGAGAGCUAGGGCGUCCUGGACUCCCCUAACGAGUCACCCAGGGUACUUUUCCCAGAAGUCUAGAUGGAUGCCAGUAGCCCCCUGUCCAGACAGGGAGGUGAUAACAGCUCGCUUUGUGUGGGGAGUGGAAAACAAAGGCUCGCUAGGAUUCGCGGGAGCCUGCGCUGCCCUGGGGCUCCUGGGACCAGCUGGCACCUGGACGGCGGCUGUGAAAAAACACUGGAGGCAGGACUCAGCUGAGCUGCAACCUCGUGAGCUCAAGCGGGGGUCACCCCUGGCUGAGGUUACGGCAGAGGGAAUGGGGUCAUCCUCCCUGGGAGAACCUGAGCGGCGGCGCGGGGACGCGGACAAAAGCCGCUUUGUGGAGGCUGAGAGUCCCUCGACGGCGCCACCGUGUGGCAGCGCCGGGCAGCGGCAGCGGCGGCCGCGGCGGAUCCCAGGGCUGUCCCGCGCCCACCCGGACCUUCUCCGGACCGGCUGGGACAGGGUGGUAUUGCAUUUCAGAAUCCACACCCGUAACGAACGCAUCCUCAGGAAGAUGAGAGGUCUGCUGCUUUCCCACGUCCACCUGCUCCCACAGGCCGCUUCAGCCAGGCACUGAGAUUUCAUGGCACACAAGCCACGUUGACUGUCAAGGCUCCAAAGGGCUGCCAUGCAUUCGCUUUUGCUCCUUCCUUCACCCAUCCCCGCAGUGAAUGUGUCCCAGGCCCUCUGCCCCCAAGGACCCGGGGCCUAGCAGGAGAAACCAAGGGCGGAAGGUGGUAGGACUGAUCACUGGACAGACAAGGUGCGAACAGCCACGUGAAGGAUGGGAAGAGGCAGCUGUGAUUUCUCAGCGUCAAGCCCUUGGACUUGCCGGGCACCCGAUGGAGAUGAGAAGGGUAAGACCUCCAGAG
rnacentral:lncRNA from 1 species